rnacentral:rRNA from 1 species
GGGUAGUUUGACUGGGGCGGUCUCCUCCUAAAGAGUAACGGAGGAGCACGAAGGUUGGCUAAUCCUGGUCGGACAUCAGGAGGUUAGUGCAAUGGCAUAAGCCAGCUUGACUGCGAGCGUGACGGCGCGAGCAGGUGCGAAAGCAGGUCAUAGUGAUCCGGUGGUUCUGAAUGGAAGGGCCAUCGCUCAACGGAUAAAAGGUACUCCGGGGAUAACAGGCUGAUACCGCCCAAGAGUUCAUAUCGACGGCGGUGUUUGGCACCUCGAUGUCGGCUCAUCACAUCCUGGGGCUGAAGUAGGUCCCAAGGGUAUGGCUGUUCGCCAUUUAAAGUGGUACGCGAGCUGGGUUUAGAACGUCGUGAGACAGUUCGGUCCCUAUCUGCCGUGGGCGCUGGAGAACUGAGGGGGGCUGCUCCUAGUACGAGAGGACCGGAGUGGACGCAUCACUGGUGUUCGGGUUGUCAUGCCAAUGGCACUGCCCGGUAGCUAAAUGCGGAAGAGAUAAGUGCUGAAAGCAUCUAAGCACGAAACUUGCCCCGAGAUGAGUUCUCCCUGACUCCUUGAGAGUCCUGAAGGAACGUUGAAGACGACGACGUUGAUAGGCCGGGUGUGUAAGCGCAGCGAUGCGUUGAGCUAACCGGUACUAAUGAACCGUGAGGCUUAACCUUA